GUUUAAACUUUAAAACGUUUGAUAUCGAAGUCCGUUGGUACUCAAAACUAAACCUCAAAAACAGAGAAGAAAGUAGCGAGCGAAAAGGAAGAUCUUAUUUAUCUAAACUUAACGUUCGGCCGUUUACAAGAUAUGUUUACAGCCAAGCCUCGUUUUAAGAGAUACAACAAGAAUAAAACUACACAAGUCAAUUGUCGAGCUUAUGUCUUUGAAUCCGAAUGAGAAUGUUCUUGUACUAUUCUCGUCCGACUUCAGGUGUCCUUUUCUGGCAUUCCUCUGUCAAUAUUUAUAGUACUUCAAUGAAAGUACACAGUACCAUUUUCUGAGCGAUAUGAAACUUCUAUGGCGGCUGAUCCUUUCCAGAAAAUGGGCCUCAUCUCGCAAUGGGCUGCGGCUUUCUCAGGGGGGCUGGUCUUCAUCAUUCUUAACUGAGGUUUUCAAUGACUCUUUGUUUGGGCCUCCGAAUGUUAAAUGGGGCGAAGCCCAUAUCCAACAAAGUUUAUCUAAGUCAUUGCUUUUUGUUUUGUUUUUGGGUUUAGACCUCUGCGUUUCUAGUUUGAGGAUAGUCUCUUAUAGUGUUUGAUUAGUUGGAAUGUAAUCUUUUACAACCAUAAUUGUUUUUGUGAAGACCAAAUUGUUGUGAAUUAGUUUUAGAAAAAAAAAAAAUCUUGUGACCGUAAAUCUUAUAUUUCUACAACCUAAAACCAUAUGUUGUUAUAAGUUCUAUAAGUUAUA
rnacentral:sRNA from 1 species